GUUUGGCGGUUCCGGCGGUGUGAAUGGACGCACGCACGCAGCAGUCGAGGGGGCUCCAGAGUCCAGAGAAACCGGGGGCGACCGGCUGCGGCAGCCACCCGUCGCCGCAGCUGCCCCCCGCCGGCCUUCUUCCAGCCUCCGCCUAAGCCCCACGCGACUCCGCCUCCACCCCUGCCUGCCCCACCGCCUCCCCUCGGCCCCUGCCCUGCUGCCCGCGGUGCUAGGUAACGGCCUCGCCGUCGCCUGCUCGCCUUGACGCCAUCUGACCGUUCCUAGGUCCGAACUUCAUUCAACGUCGAGAUAUCUGGUGGCCGUGAGCUCCAUUGGACGGCGACGCGUCCUGUGGGCUGUGGCAGUGAUAACCUACUUCCAGCGUCUGGGGAUUGCGGUGCGCGGGCAGUCUCGCAUCCAUGUGGCCGCUUCUCUUCGAGCUCAUUGCUCAUUGGCCACCAUGAUGCCCGGGCAGCUGUUUGCUGAUUUAUGUCUCGGUGUAGUUCUAUGUCACCUGUUGGAAAUUGAUAGAUUAACCGAUUUGGUGUGCUUAUGAUUGUUUAUAUUUCAUGAUAACCAUAUAAGAACGGGGAGAAGCGGAGCCAGACCAAGAUAUUGGCAUCUGUGGUACGCAAAUAAUGGACUGAAAUAUCCGACUUGGGAGAGAAAAGGGAGCUUUAUUCAGGCCACGAUUGCUAUUCCUCUAUUCCUGUAUAUCUAAUCUCUGUGCAUAAGAAGAGCAAACCUCAAGCUGCCGAGCAUCAGAUGCCGCCGAAUCUUGGCCUCUGCCAGUGAAAUUAACUUUUAUGCGGUGUUUGACUGUUUCUCAUACCAUAGCCCAUAUGACACUGAAAUAACUAGUCCUGAAUCAAAACUAAUUUUAAGAAA